CUGCUUUUCUAUACUGUAGUAGAAGUAUUGGAAUGGAGAGUUGAGAAAUAUGUGUUUGGUUAUAAUCUUGAACUUGAAGCCUGUCAUUUGAAAACUUAUCCUAUAAUGGAUCCCUAAAGCAACAGUUGUGUUUGAUUCUUCACAUCUCCUAAAGCCAAGGCAGCUUGAGUCUAGAGUCUGCAGAGUUACUAAUGUACAGUAUGUGUAUUUGUCGGUAUCCACUUUCCAUGUUGCUGUGCACAGCGCAAGAGGUCUCUUUGCAGCACUUUGAACACCAUUUGCAAUUCUUCUCCUCAUCUAGGACUGACUGCUUUGCACGGAUGAUGAACCUUUCCUUACGUUUGAGAAGACCAUCCUGGAUGGUGGAUAGUAAAAGAAUGGGGAUGACUUCAGAUUUCCAGUGGCUCUUAUUAACAUGUAUUCUCCUAUACUUAAUGAACCAAGUAAAUAGCCAGAAAAGGGGGGCUCCUCGUGAUUUGAAGUGUAUAACUAACAAUUUGCAAGUGUGGGACUGUUCUUGGAAAGCACCCUCUGGAGCAGGCCAUGGUACUGUUUAUGAAGUUUGCAUCAAAAACAGGUCUCAUUCUUGUUAUCAAUCAGAGAAAACAAAUACUCAAAUCCCUGCUCUUUUACCUGGUGAUCAUGAAAUAACAAUAAACCGUCUGCAUGAUCUUGGAAAUCUUAUAAGUAAAUUCACACUAAAUGAAAAAA